rnacentral:ncRNA from 2 species
UGUAGCCACAUCUCCGAUGGUUCCUGCUGCCUGACUCGGGCAGCGGAUUAAAUGGGAACACGGUAAGACGUCUCGACGCGAAACCGUGGCUGCCCCCGCAACUGUGAGCGGAUAGCAAAUCGGAAAAUGCCACUGGCCGGAAGGCCGGGAAGGCUCCGAGGCGCAGAAACCCGCAAGCCAGGAGACCUGCCAUCAUCCGAUUAACUCA